AGUGAACGCUGGCGGUAGGCCUAACACAUGCAAGUCGAACGGCAGCACAGUAAGAGCUUGCUCUUACGGGUGGCGAGUGGCGGACGGGUGAGGAAUACAUCGGAAUCUACUUUUUCGUGGGGGAUAACGUAGGGAAACUUACGCUAAUACCGCAUACGACCUACGGGUGAAAGCAGGGGAUCUUCGGACCUUGCGCGAUUGAAUGAGCCGAUGUCGGAUUAGCUAGUUGGCGGGGUAAAGGCCCACCAAGGCGACGAUCCGUAGCUGGUCUGAGAGGAUGAUCAGCCACACUGGAACUGAGACACGGUCCAGACUCCUACGGGAGGCAGCAGUGGGGAAUAUUGGACAAUGGGGGCAAGCCUGAUCCAGCCAUACCGCGUGGGUGAAGAAGGCCUUCGGGUUGUAAAGCCCUUUUGUUGGGAAAGAGAAGCAGCAGGUUAAUACCCCGCUGUUCUGACGGUACCCAAAGAAUAAGCACCGGCUAACUUCGUG
rnacentral:rRNA from 1 species